AGGUGCGAUCAUAUCAGCACUAAUGCAUCGGAUUCCAUCGGAACUCCGAAGUUAAGCGCUUGGGCAAGAAUAGUACUAAGAUAGUCUUGUCACUUGACUUU
rnacentral:rRNA from 1 species